GGGUAAUUACACACGUAUUGUCUCUAUAUAAACAGCAGAUAAUUACACACGUAUUGUCUCUAUAUAAACAGCAGGUAAUUACACAUGUAUUGUCUAUAUACAGCAGGUAAUUACACAUGUAUUGUCUCUAUAUAAACAGCAGGUAAUUACACAUGUAUUGUCUCUAUAUAAACAGCAGGUAAUUACACAUGUAUUGUCUAUAUAUACAGCAGGUAAUUACACAUGUAUUGUCUCUAUAUAAACAGCAGGUAAUUACACAUGUAUUGUCUCUAUAUAAACAGCAGGUAAUUACACAUGUAUUGUCUCUAUAUAUACAGCAGGUAAUUACACAUGUAUUGUCUAUAUAUACAGCAGGUAAUUACACAUGUAUUGUCUCUGUAUAUGCAGCAGGUAAUUACACAUUGUCUCUAUAUAUACAGCAGGUAAUUACACAUGUAUUGUCUCUAUAUAUGCAGCAGGUAAUUACACAUUGUCUCUAUAUAGCAAGUAAUUACACAUGUAUUGUCUCUAUAUAUACAGCAGGUAAUUACACAUGUAUUGUCUCUAUAUAUACAGCAGGUAAUUACACAUUGUCUCUAUAUAUACAGCAGGUAAUUACACAUGUAUUGUCUCUGUAUAUGCAGCAGGUAAUUACACAUUGUCUCUAUAUAGCAAGUAAUUACACAUGUAUUGUCUCUAUAUAGCAGGUAAUUAAAGAUUAUAACACCUUUAUAACCUCUGCUACAAUACUACAGUAUUCCACAUACACCAUACACUACACUUAUCACUAUACACAGCCAAUUACACAUGUAUUACAUAUUUAGCAGGUUACAUAACUCUUAACCAGUUUAUAAAUCAUGCAACCAGUUAGUAAAGUCCCACUGAAGCCCUAGCAUCUAUUGGUCAGUAGAUCUGAAGCCCUAGCAUCUAUUGGUCAGUAGAUCUGAAGCCCUAGCAUCUAUUGGUCA
ensembl:lncRNA